GUCAGCAAAUAUUGACUGGACCCCUUUUCUGUGCUCCACACUGGGAUACAAGAGGAGGGGAACAGAGCCCCACCGGGCCCUUCCUAGUGCCCAGAUGUGCAAAUCACAGUAGGGCUUUCUUUCACUGUCCUGCCUUCAUUUUAGCCUCUCUCAUGUUUCACCCCAAGUCUAGAAAGGAUCAAUGGCCCACAUUCCACCACUGGUUGCUGAAGGAAAACAGGACGAAGCUAACAUCCAGCAGUCGAAUAUGGUUUUCUUCAAAUGCUUUUUUUCCCUAAUGUUUGAUGGUCCUGGAAAUCUGGUUUGAAGCCUGUCUGCAGCCACCUGAUGCCCGCUGCCUCCCCCAGCAAUGCCUGGAUCCUUCGGUGGAUGUAUUGUAAAGACUCAUCUUCAUUGAGUUGCUUUCGUGGAAUGUCUGCUGGAUGGGGGCCCAGGAGCAGACGUUAUAAGAAAAUGGGGUUGGAAAGCUAUGCUGCUAGCAUUAAAAAAAGAAAACCUUAAAACGUGAAAACUUCCUCCAAGCUUCUUUUUUGGAUCCUGCAGAUUCCACUGAUCACGGUUCUUAAUUCCAUUGUCUGUAGUCAAGGUCACACAAUAAACAUGCAAAAGCGAAGCCUGUACCUUCUGGAUGCUCCCACUAAAGGGCUUGAGGACGCCCGAGUUCUUCUUCACAUCAUCGUAAUUAGGGACUCCACCAAUAAAAAUGUCCGUGUUGCACUUAA